GACGAACGCUGGCGGCGUGCCUAAUACAUGCAAGUAGGACGCAGUUGCGAACGGGUGAGUAACGCGUUGGUAACUACCUAUACGAGGGGGAUCACUAUUGGAAACGAUAGCUAAUACCGCAUACUAGUAGAUGGACCUGCGUUGUAUUAGCUAGUAGGUAGGGUAAUGGCCUACCUAGGCAACGAUACAUAGCCGAACUGGUAGGGUGAUCGGCCACACUGGGACUGGGAACCGGCCCAAACUCCUCCGGGAGACAGCAGUAGGGAAUCUGCGGCACUGGGGGGAACCAUGACCGAGAAACGCCGAGUAAGUGAAGAAAGUAUUCGAAUCGUAAAGCUCUGUUGUUAAGGAAGCGGUACUUAACCAGAAAGGGACGGCUAACUACGUGCCAGCAGCCGCGGUAAUAC
rnacentral:rRNA from 1 species